rnacentral:tRNA from 1 species
UAAAGAAUAGUUUAACUUCAGAAUCCUGGCUUUGGGAGUCAGGGGUGAGGGUUAAAAUCCCUCUUCUUUAA